rnacentral:rRNA from 1 species
GAUGAACGCUGGCGGCGUGCCUAAUACAUGCAAGUCGAGCGAACAGAUAAGGAGCUUGCUCCUUUGACGUUAGCGGCGGACGGGUGAGUAACACGUGGGUAACCUACCUAUAAGACUGGGAUAACUUCGGGAAACCGGAGCUAAUACAGGAUAACAUUUGGAACCGCAUGGUUCUAAAGUGAAAGAUGGUUUUGCUAUCACUUAUAGAUGGACCCGCGCCUUAUUAGCUAGUUGGUAAGGUAACGGCUUACCAAGGCAACGAUACGUAGCCGACGAGAGAGGGUGAUCGGCCACAGUGGAACUGGUACACGGUCCAGACUCCUACGGGGGGCAGCAGUAGGGGAUCGUCCGCAAUGGUCGAAAGCCUGACGGAACAACGCCGCGUGAGUGAUGAAAGGUUUCGGCUCGUAAAACUCUGUUAUUAGGUAAGAACGAACGUGUAAGUAACUGUGCACGUCUUGACGGUACCUAAUCAGAAAGCCACGGCUAACUACGUG